UGAGCAGGCUAUACAGCAGCGGGAACGCUUUUAGUUCAUGAGGAAAGUCCGGACAUCACAGAGCAGGGUAGCUGUUAACGACAGCCGGAGGCGACUCCCGAACCAGUGCAACAGAAAUAUACUGCCCGAUUUUUCGGGUGAUGGUGGAAAGGUGCGGUAAGAGCGUACCAGAGUGCAGGAGACUGUACU
rnacentral:RNase_P_RNA from 1 species